UAUACCCUUGCUGAUGCCCAUCUCACCAAGAAAAGGAUCAUGUCUUGGUCAGCAGCCUUGGCACUACAUGUACUUUUGGAGCUCAUCCUGUACCUCCCACUGCUGUGUAAAGACAAGCAGGACACCCUUGUAUUUGCAUGCUGUGAGCAGACCCUGUGAAUGGCCGGUGGGCUCCCUAGAUCUGUCAUCAUCACCUGUUCUGUCACCAUCAAAGAAGGCUGUCAGCUGAAGCAUACAUCCAGUCCAUUUUGCAUUGUAAUGAAAGGCUCUUGGUG
rnacentral:lncRNA from 1 species